rnacentral:lncRNA from 1 species
CCAGUGAAAAACUGAGGCCUCCUGUUCUCCCAAAAGCCAUGAGAGUGAACCAACUUGGAAGUUGCUCGUCCAGCCCUAGUGAAGUCUUCAAAUAACUGCAACCCCAGCUGAAAGCUUGACUGUUGUUGAGAGACCCUAAGCCAGAACCACAGAGCUGAGCCACUUCUGGAUCACUAGACUUCUGAAACAGACUUUGCUUCUCCAUGACCACGUAUUUCAACACUCAAUAUGUCCUAGCUCCCUCUCUGCUACUGUGUCCACAACCAAGCUUAAAUCAUAAACUAAAUAAGCUGAGGAUGUUCUGAAUCUGAUAUGAGAAGAAAAUACUAUUGGUCCUGUGGUCAUCAGAAAUUAUAACAGAAUUGGAGAAGAUUGCUGCCAUUUGGUGCCCAGAUUGCUUCAAAAAAUUGUAGGAGACUGCCAUCCAGAUUAUUCCUCAGAAGCUAUAAAACCUUUUGUAAUAUUGGAAGUUGACAAGCCAAGCGCAUUAAAUGAAAACUGUCAAAAAAAAAAAAAAA